CACUCCUACGGGAGGCAGCAGUGGGGAAUAUUGGACAAUGGGCGCAAGCCUGAUCCAGCCAUGCCGCGUGAGUGAUGAAGGCCCUAGGGUUGUAAAGCUCUUUCACCGGUGAAGAUAAUGACGGUAACCGGAGAAGAAGCCCCGGCUAACUUCGUGCCAGCAGCCGCGGUAAUACGAAGGGGGCUAGCGUUGUUCGGAUUUACUGGGCGUAAAGCGCACGUAGGCGGACUAUUAAGUCAGGGGUGAAAUCCCGGGGCUCAACCCCGGAACUGCCUUUGAUACUGGUAGUCUUGAGUUCGAGAGAGGUGAGUGGAAUUCCGAGUGUAGAGGUGAAAUUCGUAGAUAUUCGGAGGAACACCAGUGGCGAAGGCGGCUCACUGGCUCGAUACUGACGCUGAGGUGCGAAAGCGUGGGGAGCAAACAGGAUUAGAAACCCGAGUAGUCCCAUGA
rnacentral:rRNA from 1 species